UACGGAGGGGGCGAGCGUUAUUCGGAAUUAUUGGGCGUAAAGGGCGCGUAGGCGGCUGUACAAGUCAAAGGUGAAAUCCCUCGGCUCAACUGAGGAACUGCCUUUGAAACUGUACGGCUUGAGGCCGGGAGGGGGUAGCGGAAUUCCCAGUGUAGCGGUGAAAUGCGCAGAUACUGGGAGGAACACCAGUGGCGAAGGCGGCUACCUGGACCGGUUCUGACGCUGAGGCGCGAAAGCGUGGGUAGCAAACAGG
rnacentral:rRNA from 1 species